UGGCUCAGAUUGAACGCUGGCGGCAGGCCUAACACAUGCAAGUCGAGCGGAUGAAAGGAGCUUGCUCCUGGAUUCAGCGGCGGACGGGUGAGUAAUGCCUAGGAAUCUGCCUGGUAGUGGGGGACAACGUUUCGAAAGGAACGCUAAUACCGCAUACGUCCUACGGGAGAAAGCAGGGGACCUUCGGGCCUUGCGCUAUCAGAUGAGCCUAGGUCGGAUUAGCUAGUUGGUGAGGUAAUGGCUCACCAAGGCGACGAUCCGUAACUGGUCUGAGAGGAUGAUCAGUCACACUGGAACUGAGACACGGUCCAGACUCCUACGGGAGGCAGCAGUGGGGAAUAUUGGACAAUGGGCGAAAGCCUGAUCCAGCCAUGCCGCGUGUGUGAAGAAGGUCUUCGGAUUGUAAAGCACUUUAAGUUGGGAGGAAGGGUUGUAGAUUAAUACUCUGCAAUUUUGACGUUACCGACAGAAUAAGCACCGGCUAACUCUGUGCCAGCAGCCGCGGUAAUACAGAGGGUGCAAGCGUUAAUCGGAAUUACUGGGCGUAAAGCGCGCGUAGGUGGUUUGUUAAGUUGGAUGUGAAAUCCCCGGGCUCAACCUGGGAACUGCAUCCAAAACUGGCAAGCUAGAGUAUGGUAGAGGGUGGUGGAAUUUCCUGUGUAGCGGUGAAAUGCGUAGAUAUAGGAAGGAACACCAGUGGCGAAGGCGACCACUCUGGACUGAUACUGAC
rnacentral:rRNA from 1 species